rnacentral:rRNA from 1 species
GAGUAAUGUCUGGGAAACUGCCUGAUGGAGGGGGAUAACUACUGGAAACGGUGGCUAAUACCGCAUAACGUCGCAAGACCAAAGAGGGGGACCUUCGGGCCUCUUGCCAUCAGAUGUGCCCAGAUGGGAUUAGCUUGUUGGUGAGGUAACGGCUCACCAAGGCGACGAUCCCUAGCUGGUCUGAGAGGAUGACCAGCCACACUGGAACUGAGACACGGUCCAGACUCCUACGGGAGGCAGCAGUGGGGAAUAUUGCACAAUGGGCGCAAGCCUGAUGCAGCCAUGCCGCGUGUAUGAAGAAGGCCUUAGGGUUGUAAAGUACUUUCAGCGGGGAGGAAGGUGUUGUGGUUAAUAACCGCAGCAAUUGACGUUACCCGCAGAAGAAGCACCGGCUAACUCCGUGCCAGCAGCCGCGGUAAUACGGAGGGUGCAAGCGUUAAUCGGAAUUACUGGGCGUAAAGCGCACGCAGGCGGUCUGUCAAGUCGGAUGUGAAAUCCCCGGGCUCAACCUGGGAACUGCAUUCGAAACUGGCAGGCUUGAGUCUUGUAGAGGGGGGUAGAAUUCCAGGUGUAGCGGUGAAAUGCGUAGAGAUCUGGAGGAAUACCGGUGGCGAAGGCGGCCCCCUGGACAAAGACUGACGCUCAGGUGCGAAAGCGUGGGGAGCAAACAGGAUUAGAUACCCUGGUAGUCCACGCCGUAAACGAUGUCUACUUGGAGGUUGUGCCCUUGAGGCGUGGCUUCCGGAGCUAACGCGUUAAGUAGACCGCCUGGGGAGUACGGCCGCAAGGUUAAAACUCAAAUGAAUUGACGGGGGCCCGCACAAGCGGUGGAGCAUGUGGUUUAAUUCGAUGCAACGCGAAGAACCUUACCUGGUCUUGACAUCCACAGAACUUUCCAGAGAUGGAUUGGUGCCUUCGGGAACUGUGAGACAGGUGCUGCAUGGCUGUCGUCAGCUCGUGUUGUGAAAUGUUGGGUUAAGUCCCGCAACGAGCGCAAC